GAUGAACGCUAGCGGGAGGCUUAACACAUGCAAGUCGUGGGGCAGCAUUAGGUAGCAAUACUUAGAUGGCGACCGGCGCACGGGUGAGUAACGCGUAUGCAACCUACCCAGUACAGGGGGAUAGCCCGGAGAAAUUCGGAUUAAUACCCCAUAAUGAUAUAAAGAGGCAUCUUUUUAUAUUUAAAGCUUCGGCGGUACUGGAUGGGCAUGCGUAAGAUUAGCUAGUUGGUAGGGUAACGGCCUACCAAGGCUCCGAUCUUUAGGGGUCCUGCGAGGGUGAUCCCCCACACUGGUACUGAGACACGGACCAGACUCCUACGGGAGGCAGCAGUGAGGAAUAUUGGUCAAUGGGCGCAAGCCUGAACCAGCCAUCCCGCGUGAAGGAAGAAUGCGCUAUGCGUUGUAAACUUCUUUUCCGGAGGAAUAAAAUCUUGUACGCGUACAGGACUGAAGGUACUCCGGGAAUAAGCAUCGGCUAACUCCGUGCCAGCAGCCGCGGUAAAAC
rnacentral:rRNA from 1 species